AUAAUAAAUAUAGGUAAUAUAAAAUUAAAUAUGAAAAGGCAUGAAGGAAUGUGGUUUAAAUCCACAACAGCCCCCGCUACUGUAAGUAUUGAUGAAGGAUACAUUAUCACUCGGAUUUUUCUGGGGAAGAGUAUCAUUAAGAUGAAGUACAAGUCAGGAUAUUUUGUGUUUUUUCGUGAAGUUUC
rnacentral:ncRNA from 19 species